CAAGGCUUGACAUGGAUUUCUAAGCACGUGAAAGCGUGUGACCCUUCGGGGGACUUCCACAGGUGCUGCAUGGCCGUCGUCAGCUCGUGUCGUGAGAUGUUGGGUUAAGUCCCGCAACGAGCGCAACCCCUGUGAUUAGUUGCCAGCGAGUAAUGUCGGGGACUCUAAUCAGACUGCCCAGAUCAACUGGGAGGAAGGUGGGGACGACGUCAGGUCAGUAUGGCCCUUACGCCUUGGGCUGCACACGUACUACAAUGCCCAGUACAAUGAGAACCGAGACCGCGAGGUGGAGGAAAUCUACAAAACUGGGCCCAGUUCGGAUUGGAGGCUGCAACUCGCCUCCAUGAAGCCGGAAUCGCUAGUAAUGCUGCAUCAGCUACGGCAGCGGAAUACGUCCUAUGCAU
rnacentral:rRNA from 1 species